GCCAAGUGAAUCUGUGCUUGGAACUGGCAGGUGGCGUUUAGCAGUGGCAUCCAAUCUCUAUUCUUAAAAUCCAGCGGUGUUCUUCACUUUUCAGGAGGAUUGAUUGAUGAUACUUGUUGGUUAAACCACGAAGAAUACCAAUACAUGGAUGAGUGGAGGGCUAUAAAAGUUUAAAACUAAUUCCUUAUGGCAUUUUCAUUCUCGCAUGCGCGGCAGUUCGUGAGCAGACGAAGCAUUGAAAGAGCCUUGCGCAGUCUAGCUGCAUCCAGCCAGAUACUUGUAGAACCCGAAAUAUUGUUUUGACAAGUACUGCCAUAUUUCGGUGGCUGGUUUUCAGUAAAUACCAAGUAUAUCAGAAAAAAGAUUCACAUUUUCAUGAUCCUCGUCAAAUUUGGGGUCGAUUCCAUGUAUCAGCUCAAAAUACCCCAAAAUCGUCAAAAAUCGCAAAUUUUCCUGAACAUGUUCCUGAACACUGUUCAUGAAAAAUCACGAUUUUGUUCAAAUCCGACUUUUGGCUACAAACACGUCAUUCCAACUCAAAUUCGAUAAGGAUCACAAAAAUCCUACUCGUUUUAUUAUGGGAUUACUAUUUCCGGAGAUAUUGGCUACUUCCGGUUACUUCCAUAAAUUUUUCCUGACAAUUUUCAAAAAGGUAGUGCAGCUAUUAUUCCCUGUUUCUUUUCGCCAUCAACAGUACAGGUGACCCUACGAGCAACGACAGUUUCAGCUACAAAUGUUUCAGUGCCUGGUCUUUCAACCAAUAGUUGAUAUUCUAGGUUCUUAUGUUUAAAAUUGAAAUUUAACUAUUUGAGAUUAGUAAAGUUCAAGCACUUAAAAAUAAGAACUGUACUGACAUGGUACUGAUUUCAAAAUAAAAUUCAUUUUUUGGGGGGUUUCAGGAGGGAAAAUAGAUGGCGUUGAUCUUUGUCUAUGAUAAAUAUUACGAGUGACAAGUUAAAUUGAUGGUUUGUUACGUUUCUACCCUGUUUAGUGUUUUAAAGGAUUUUCAUCAAAUAUUUACGGGUUUCGCCUUGUCAGUUGCUGAACCAGUAGCCUGCAUUCUUGUGUCGCCAUUGAUAGAAGUGUGUUGGAAGGACAUCACAUCAAAAAAUUGCUUUUUGUAUGCAACAGUUUCCCCUGCCAUCACCUUUCCAAACUACUGAACGAGAUACAUUGGACAUUAUUCUUCAUAUUGAGAAAACUGUUUUCAUACUAAGGCCAAAAGAAUACUGAAACAAAAAAUCUUCAUCUAUUGAAUGGUACCAAUCAUCUACCAGCUGCCUACUUAUCCUUCUUCCGAACUUCACUCCUGAGCUGAUCGCUAUCCAUAGCUAUCUGCACUUCAUGUCAUUAAUCUAAAGCUUUCAAAUCUUCAUCUUUGAAUGCUAUCUCAACCAUUUCUUCUAUGCUGCCUUGACCUCCCCUUGACCUUCAAACAUACAGAAAUUUCAACACCCUCACCUCUUUAUGGAUUGCCAAGUGUUCAUUUUCGUGUUUCAUGGAAAAUCGUCGUCCAAAACAUGUGCUGACUGCUGAAGUCUUAAUUCCCGUGCGUCGUGAAACACGUGGCAUCCAAUACCGAUAGAUGUUAUCCCGGAAGGUGUAUGGAUCCAAAACAACCCACGGCUAUGGCGCAGGACAUCAUCGUGGAGCGUCUUAUUCAAUGUAGUAUUGUUUUGUUAUUUUGUUCGUGUGAGUUAACCCGUUGGCUGCCACCCACUUUUCUCCCAUUUUUUUUUGUAGCUUUAGGGACCGGCCGCACUGUCCUGCCCCGUGGGGUGGGGCAGUUGCAAUGGCCUUCGCCGAAAGGCGCUUAGGCAAUGCACCAGUAGGGACUUCUCUUUGUUCGAUGCGAUGGCGGAAUCUUGAGGGUGUGCAUUCCCUGUAAUGGAUUCCGUCAUCGCAUCAGCCCGGACUUUUCUUCGGACAAGUCCCACCUUGGUCGUGGAUCCUUCAGAUGCGACGCGUAGUUAAGUAGUAACACAACCUAAGGGUUGUAAGGCGUGGCAGCCAACGGGUUAACUAUUUGUGUAUGUGUGUAUGUAUGUAUGUAUGUAUGUAUGUAUGUAUUUUUGUAUUUUGUUAUGUAUGUUUGAUUUUGUAUGUAAACAGUGGUGGAAUUGUGGGAGGUGGUGGGACAAUACAAACAAUUCCUGUCAUA
rnacentral:lncRNA from 1 species